rnacentral:lncRNA from 1 species
CUCAGAAGCCAAACCAUGGUGCUGAAUGGCAUUCCACUCAAGUUAACAAAUAAAGGGGAUAUUCCAACAAUGGAUCCAGUGCACAAUAAUGUGAAAUCUUCAAUACACAUAGCUCCUUUGUCCAUUGCAUUUAUUGUGUACCUAAACUUUGAUGCUCCAGCUUGUGCCAGGCACUGAAAACUAUAUAGCCUUGUAAACUAGGCCUUAAAAAUAAGGAACUACAAGCUCUUUGUAAUUCUAAGUAGUGAACAAGUUAACCCACUUGCGUUGGCUCAGUGGUGUUACCUUGGGACUUUGGAGUGUGAUCCUCUCAAGGUUUCAGAUUCGAUUCUCUUCGGUGCCAAUUUCAUUAUGCAAGUUAUAUACAACCUUUACAAUAAUUUUAAUUUUGAAGAAGCAUAAAAAUGUAUCAACUUAUAAAUCAUAUCCACAAUAAUGGGUUUAUUAAGCAAGAUUUUAUAUUAAAUUCUUUACAACAAUUGCAUUCACAAUAUUAGGAUGUUAGAGAUCUGUUAGCGUGUCAUGACCAAAAUUUAAAAUCUUAAAUCUUGUUGCCAAUUUCCACAAGAUACCUUGUUAGAAAAGAAAGUUUCAAAAUCUUACAUCUUACUUGAAUUUAUCUUAUAACAUAAUAUUUAUGUAUAUAUUUGCAAUAAACUACUCCUGACAUGUUCAAAGAUUUUCAAAGCUUUCUAAGAUCAAAUUGUGGCGAGGAAUUUUACUGCUUCAAAGAGGAACAAGUCACUUUGGAAAGUGGCGAGUUCCAAGAUGAGAGAGUCCAGAACAAUGUAAAUGCAAGUGGAAGAAUCUUGUCAAUCGCUACAAGGUCUCUUUCUCAGAUUUGUUUGAUAAUGUGGAUGUUGCAGAGAAGAUUUUUUUGGGUUUGUGUGUUGAAAAUGGAUGAUUUACUGGGUUGGCUUUGUGUGUGUUUUCAAAGAGAAUUGCCCUUCUCCCUUUUGUUUUUGCUCAUUCCCUUAAUUCAGCUUUCAGCGAGUUUACUCAUGCCCACAAUUUUAAGAUAGGUUCAAUCAUCUUUUAAGCCGGUUCAACCGAUUUUCAAAGACUCACGCUGAAUCAAGGGAAUGAGUAAUUUUAAAAGGGGGAAGAACGAUUUUCUUAAGCAAAAGAUUGCUUUCUUGGAGAAUAAGUUGAAGAAAUUGGUUUUUUUUUCUUCUUUUCCAAUCUCACCUGCCAAUCCAAAAGUGUGUGUGAAUUUUACAUUCAGAAAUUACCUACGAGGUAUACAAUUCAUUUAAGUGAGAAGUCACGUAGGCAUUGACCAAGUCAAUGUUAAAACUUGCAAGAGGGGGAAAAGUUAGGAGUUAUAAUGUUGUUUUUAAUAGGGGACAAAAUCGCAACUAGUGGAAGUUUAAACCUAAAAAACAUUCAAAAUAAACCGCAUUAACUUGAGUCAGAUCAAUAUUUUAAUUAAUUAUUCAAAUUGAUAUCCAUGUAAUUUCAUCUUUGAAUCAAAUGAUUGUUUUUUUUUUUUUUUUCUUUAAUCCAAUAUGUAGUGUGAACACCCCUAACCAAAAUAAUUCAUUCAGUUGGACACUUUCAUUUUGAUUUGAAUUGUAUGUGUAAAUCUGACAAGAUUUGACACUUCCUCUACAAAGAAAAGGACAGUCAUUAAGUCAGAGACAUUUGUGGCCUUUCAAUUUCCAAUUUGUGUCAUUAUUGACAGCAUACUCUCUCAGCCACAGUUAUCCAACCAUUAUAUAGCCAACACAACAUGCUCUUCAAUGCCAAUGUAGCAUCCCAACAACCCAUUUAUUAGGUUCUUGUCUUCUCCAUCAAAGUUUGUUACUUUCUGUCACCCUUUUUCUUAUUCUUUCAUAUCUUGUCUGGAUGCUCUUUUUCUUAUAUAUAAUAUUUACAAGUCUAUUGGAAGCUGUUUUGUAUUGUUUUUUUAAUGAUAAGAAUGAGUUAUGUUUUUUUGACUAAGUUUGAAUUCAACCUAUUAUUCUAUGUUUUGUUUAUUGUUAUAUCUUGUUGCUGUGUCUUCAAGAUUAAAAUAAUAUAAUUAUGAUUGGUUAAUGUUUCUUACAAGUUUUGUGCUCACAUUAUUGUCUGGUUUUGAUUUGUUUAUUACUAAUAACUUAAUAAGCAUGUGAUUGUUUGAGAUUCUGACAUUGAAGUUUAUUUUCAUGAUUCACAAAAACAUAUUGAUAUUUUUUUGGUAGUGACCGGGGUUUGAACCCUGAACCUUGCAUAUUUUAUGCAUUGUUCCAACCAACUGAGCUAAACUCACACGGACAAACAUAUUGAUAUUUGAGAGAAAGUGAAGUGGCCCUUAUUGAAUUUAGGAAUAAAAUUACUAUGCCAUGGAUGGUUAUGAGUAUUGAUCAUGAGAAUAUCAGUGUUAACUUAUAAAAUGAAAUUUUCAAUUUGGAAUAUUAUAAUUUUCAAUAUUUUUUUCUUUUAUAAGUAGUGAAUUUUUUUCUUUUAUAAGUGAUGAAUUAACAUGCUUUCCAUUUCACAAAAAUCUGGUGCCAAUUUCGGUAGGCAAGUCCAUAUAGAGCUUUGCUCUGACUCUGACUUUAAAUGGGCCUCCCACAAGUGGGAAAUGGGAUUGGUCCCUUCAGAUUAGUCGGUUCUUUGAUCAGAUACUGAGUCAUGCUAACAUAUGCCCUUAGGAUUCCACAAAUAGUGAGUAUUUAUUGAAAAAAAGUAAUUUUCAUAAUUUAAAGAAAUAAACUGACACAUUUUCAAAACAUAAUUUCUAUCUUUGGUAUACUAACAUGUACCCUAAGGGCAUAUGUAAUCACUCUCUUACUUUUUAUUUGUCUGAUGUUCAGUUACUAAUCAUUAUGUGGUAUUUAUGUAAAACCUAAUUUUCUAUUUUUUAACUGUUAAAUAAAAGAAAUUGUAGAAAAAAAUGUUGGAUAAAAGAAAGUUUUAAUUCUACUCUAUAGUUUCGUCACAUCUUUCUAUAAAUCAACUUUUAUCUAUUACUGCAGUUAAUUUGGAUUAGUUACUGUGUUGGACUUGGAUGCUGCUGCAAUUGAUUCAGUCAUCAUGAGACUCUCCCUUGCAUUGUUCAUCUUUUUGGCCUCUCUUCAAGUUACUCUAAGUAAAGAUGUUGAACAUGGUUUGAUACUAGUAAAUGGAGCUCAAGCAAAAGCUGAAAUAGGUGAUAACUUCAUUUGCGCAACGAUUGAUUGGUGGCCUCCUGAAUUAUGCAACUUCGGCGUUUGUUCUUGGGGACAUUCAUCUAUUGUCAAUUUGGUGUGUAUUUUUAGAUUUUCACCUGUAUAGAAAAUGAAAUCAAUGCUUUUAAAAUUUUAUGUUUCCUUGGAAAGCAAGCUAACCUGUUUUAAUCAUUGUUCAGGACUUAUCUCAUCCUCUCCUUGCCAAAGCAAUCCAAGGUUUGUAUGUCUAAAUUACUUAAAUGUAUAUGAUUUAGAUAAUUUGUUAGUAUUAUGAUCGAUGUUUUUAAAAAUCGGAUAACAUUGUUGAUGACGUUAUUAUUGUUGAUGGCAUUAUUAAUGUGGCUGCAUGAAGUUUAAAUGUAUUAAGCAUAAUGUUAUUCUUUUCAUAUCAUUUUCGGAUAGCCCUCAAACCUUUGAGGAUAAGACUUGGAGGUUCUCUGCAAGACCAGGUGGUGUAUAACGUAGGAAACUUGAAGUCUCCUGGUCAUCCAUUUCAAAAGGUGAAAGGUGGAUUUUUAGGAUUUUCAGAGGGAUCUUUACACAUGCAAAGGUGGGAUGAGCUGAAUCAUUUUUUCAACAAGACAGGGUGAGAAUCUAUACAUUAUAUUUGUUAUUAUCGUCACCGCCACCUUCACUUUCUCUUCUUUUAAACCAAAUAAAAAGGAUAGUUUCAAUUUAGUGCUUUCUUCCUUAUAAUUGAAGACUUUAGGUGAUUUAUUUAUUUUGUUAUUUGGAGCGAUUCAAUAUAUUGUCUUCUAUCCUGUACUAUUGCAACAGUUUUUGUUAGCUUACAAAGAGUGUCUGAGAUAUCAGGAUGUGAUCGACCCCAUUUUGUGUAAAUAUGUACCAAAACAAAGAACUUGGAUAUAUGUGUCUGGUAGAAUUAUGAUUACGUCUGGUAGAAUUGUAACUUAAUUGAAGUUUGACACAUGCAGGGCCAUUGUGAUGUUUGGGUUGAAUGCGCUCAGUGGGAGGCACAAGAUUAGUAACACUAGUAAUGUUUGGGAAGGAGCCUGGGACCCUACAAAUGCUUAUGAUUUUAUAAAGUACACUGUUUCAAAGGGAUACAAGAUUGAUGCAUGGGAAUUUGGUACGACAAUAGACAAAGUAGUUUGUUAUUUUUGUUAACGCAUUAGUUUGUUUUAGCAUAUGCCCAAUUGGCGGAGUGUUAAUGGACUGAUCUAUAGUUGUCAAAGCCUAAGGGUUCGUGGUCCAAAAGGUCUAAACAAGUGUUGUCAAUCGUGGAUCAUAGAAAAUAGUGAUUAUUUAAAUUCUACGCAACAAUGUUGAAGUCCCGCUGUAACUGUUAUUGACAACAUUUUGUUAGCGUAUGGCGGAGCAACACUGGUCUAAGCCAUUUGAUCUUCAUCCCACUUUAGUCUUCUUUGUUGUUAUCAGAUGUGGACUUAUUGCAUAUGCUUAUGUAGGUAAUGAGUUGAGUGGUACAGGCGUUGGUGCAUCAGUUGUCGUUGCACAGUAUGGGAAAGACGUGAUAAACCUUAAACGAAUUCUAGAUGAGUUAUACAAGAACUCGAGGUUCAAACCCUUACUUGUAGCACCUGAUGGAAGUUAUGAUAAGGAAUGGUACAAUAAGCUUCUUCAGCUUUCUGGUCCAGGCGUAAUCAAUGUUCUGACUCAUCAUUUAUAUAACAUAGGCCGAGGUUUGCUUAUCACUCACAUAAUUCUUUCUAGUAUUGUCUACCAUUCAUAACCUAUUUCUAAGUUAAUUUCUCGUUUUCAGCUAAUGACACGCAUCUUAUAGAGAGAAUUUUAGAUCCUGAUCACUUGAGCGAAGUGGAAACAACCUUCAGAAAUCUUUCAGAAACCAUUCAAAAACAUGGUCCUUGGGCUUCUGCAUGGGUAGGAGAAUCUGGCGGGAUAUCUAGGAGUGGCAGUCGUGAUGUAUCUAACACAUUUGUGAAUAGCUUUUGGUAAUAUUGAUUCCGUCAUUUUUUUCCCUCUUUCUAAGUUUUAGGUGCCAGAAGAAGAAUUCUGAUUUUUUAUUUAGAAUGUGUUGAACCGAAUAUUUGAAUGACUCGUCGUAGGUACUUAGAUCAACUUGGAAUGGCAUCCACCUACAAUACUAAAGUUUAUUGUAGGCAGUCAUUAAUUGGAGGGAACUAUGGUCUUCUCAAUACCUCCACUCUCGCUCCUAAUCCUGACUACUACAGGCAAGUAUAAAUUAAAUAUUACAGAAAAAUAAAAAUCAGAGAUUAAUAGAUAAUUUGAUAUACUUAUAUUCCCUGGAAUGUUACUUAAGGAUUUAUAGUAGUAAUGUAUGUCAUUGUUAAACAUAUCUAAUCCUAGAUUCUGGUUCUGCAAACAGUGCGCUGUUGUGGUAUCGGCUAAUGGGAAAGAAGGUUCUUGGUGUUAGGAGUAAUAUUUCUUCGCCAUUUUUACGCACUUACUCCCAUUGUUCAAAAGACAGUGUAAGUAUGCUAAUUUAUUACAACUUCUUAGGAAGGAUAUUAUAUUAUAGAGAGAUGUGAUGAGUUUAGUUUUUAUAUUUGAUUAAUAUCCCACGAAAAAUUAAAGUUGAUAUGACAUCAUACGAAAAACUUAACACGCGUGUGUAACUGUGGAUUGAUUCUUUGGCGAUUAUUAUAGUUUGAGUACCUUAAUUUGUGUAACUAUCUACGGGCUACUGAUUCUUAAUAGUUUCAUAGUUGAGACACAUAGGUUCUGUCAAAUGUCUCGUUUCCGAGAGACAACAAUAGUCCAUGAAUAACUAGUGGAUCCAUUAUUCAUUGCUGUAUUUUUCCCUAAAACCAUGCUUCAUGCUUCUAUAAAUAGCUACUGGUCGCAACUAUAUAUAGAAGUCGACCGACGAAGAUAAUAGCAACUGUUCAGCUAGUUCUGUGUACUAUAGAGAUUAGAUACAGUUACAGUAAACUUAUAAACCCGAGUAAGUAUACUCUAAUACUCUCCUACAAGCUCAAGGUGGGUCGGAGCCAUGAAAAGAUGAUAGAUCAUACACACUGAGCUUUGAUCUCAGAGCUUCAAAUCUAGUUUGCGCUAUUAACGCGGCUUUCAGCUUUUUAACAUAUUUUAAUUGCUAAACUGAAUAAUGUCAUCUCCAUUCCCAUUAAAUACAUAAAUAUUUCCACACUACCUUCUGAUCGAAUAAAGAUCUUUGCUUUCUAGAUCUUUUAUGUUUUUUGAAACUACAUGCAAUUUCAGUUUAUAAUGAAUGUAUGAUAGUAUUGAAUCCAGGUUGAUUCAGUGUCAUGCUUAAUUUCAUAGUAAUUCUUUUUUACUGCAGAGUAAUUUCCAUCAUCUGUUGGCUAAUUUGCUAUUAAUUUAAGCAAUCCUCAAAUUCUUACCAAUUUGAUUUUACAGGCUGGUGUAACAUUACUGUUGAUCAACUUAAGCAAUCAAACUGAGUUCAUACUCAAUGUGAAAAACCAUGUAACUGUUAAAGCAAAUGAAGUGGCCAAAUUCAGGGAAGAGUAUCACUUAACUCCAAAAGAUAAUAAUCUCAGAAGCCAAACCAUGGUGCUGAAUGGCAUUCCACUUAAGUUAACAAAUAAAGGGGAUAUUCCAGCAAUGGAUCCAGUGCAAAAUAAUGUGAAAUCUCCAAUAUACAUAGAUCCUUUGUCCAUUGCAUUUAUUGUGUACCCAAACUUUGAUGCUCCAGCUUGUGCCAGGCACUCAAAACUAUAAAGCUUGUAAACUAGGCCUUAAAA